rnacentral:rRNA from 1 species
GGUGAUGUCAUUUCGGUGAACCAAAGUGCGUUCGUCCCUGGAAGGCUAAUUACAGACAAUGCCCUCGUGGCCUUUGAGUGCUUUCACUUCAUCGAACAGAACACAAACCCAGGGAAGAACUUCUGUGCAUACAAAAUUGACUUGUCAAAAGCUUAUGAUCGAGUGGACCGGGGUUUCUUUGAAAAGGCGAUGAAAGGCUUAGGUUUCUCUCACCGGUGGAUCGGCUGGAUCAUGUCAUGUGUGACCACAGUGAGCUACUCUGUCAAAUUCAAUGGAACCUUGCUGGAUUCGUUUACCCCGUCCCGUGGCCUCCGCCAAGGCGAUCCCUUGUCGCCUUUCUUGUUUUUGUUAGUU